UGGAAGUGAUUCACAAUCACUGACUUCGAGGAUUCCCUCUUGAGUCAACCUGUUUAUUCUGUUUUUGUUUAUAUGACCUAGCCUACAGUGCCAUAAGUAGAUAUCUAACACACUAUCUAAUCUAGGGUGCUUGCCAGUAGAAUAGACUCUUAUCAGGCUUGAUCUUUUUUGGUCUAGCUCUGCACAGAUGUCCCAGCCUGAACUUGAACCUUCUUGACUUUCUUCUUCUUGUUCUUCUUCCCUUUCUUAAAAGGUUGAGAACCAGAAGACGAACCUCCCACUAAGUUCACCGACUCCUUGUGAAGUUGGUGAUCUUUCUCAAAGUUCUGAAGCAACCCUAGUAACCCGUGGUAGUUUACUUCAGGCUUUGUCAUUCUAUAAUGAGUGAGGAAUGGGAGAUAAGACUUGGGCAGCGAGUUCAGUAUUGCAUCUUUCCCAAGCUACUCAUGCAAGGAAAAGCCGAGCUUGCUCAAUCAUUCCAUCAGCUCGAUCAUGUA
rnacentral:lncRNA from 1 species